AAAUUGAAGAGUUUGAUCAUGGCUCAGAUUGAACGCUGGCGGCAGGCCUAACACAUGCAAGUCGAGCGGUAGCACAGAGGAGCUUGCUCCUUGGGUGACGAGCGGCGGACGGGUGAGUAAUGUCUGGGAAACUGCCUGAUGGAGGGGGAUAACUACUGGAAACGGUAGCUAAUACCGCAUAACCUCGCAAGAGCAAAGAGGGGGACCUUAGGGCCUCUCGCCAUCAGAUGUGCCCAGAUGGGAUUAGCUAGUAGGUGAGGUAAUGGCUCACCUAGGCGACGAUCCCUAGCUGGUCUGAGAGGAUGACCAGCCACACUGGAACUGAGACACGGUCCAGACUCCUACGGGAGGCAGCAGUGGGGAAUAUUGCACAAUGGGCGCAAGCCUGAUGCAGCCAUGCCGCGUGUGUGAAGAAGGCCUUCGGGUUGUAAAGCACUUUCAGCGAGGAGGAAGGCGGUAAGGUUAAUAACCUUAUCGAUUGACGUUACUCGCAGAAGAAGCACCGGCUAACUCCGUGCCAGCAGCCGCGGUAAUACGGAGGGUGCAAGCGUUAAUCGGAAUGACUGGGCGUAAAGCGCACGCAGGCGGUCUGUUAAGUUGGAUGUGAAAUCCCCGGGCUUAACCUGGGAACUGCAUUCAAAACUGACAGGCUAGAGUCUUGUAGAGGGGGGUAGAAUUCCAGGUGUAGCGGUGAAAUGCGUAGAGAUCUGGAGGAAUACCGGUGGCGAAGGCGGCCCCCUGGACAAAGACUGACGCUCAGGUGCGAAAGCGUGGGGAGCAAACAGGAUUAGAUACCCUGGUAGUCCACGCUGUAAACGAUGUCGAUUUGGAGGUUGUGCCCUUGAGGCGUGGCUUCCGGAGCUAACGCGUUAAAUCGACCGCCUGGGGAGUACGGCCGCAAGGUUAAAACUCAAAUGAAUUGACGGGGGCCCGCACAAGCGGUGGAGCAUGUGGUUUAAUUCGAUGCAACGCGAAGAACCUUACCUACUCUUGACAUCCAGAGAAUUAGCUAGAGAUAGCUGAGUGCCUUCGGGAACUCUGAGACAGGUGCUGCAUGGCUGUCGUCAGCUCGUGUUGUGAAAUGUUGGGUUAAGUCCCGCAACGAGCGCAACCCUUAUCCUUUGUUGCCAGCGAUUCGGUCGGGAACUCAAAGGAGACUGCCGGUGAUAAACCGGAGGAAGGUGGGGAUGACGUCAAGUCAUCAUGGCCCUUACGAGUAGGGCUACACACGUGCUACAAUGGCGUAUACAAAGAGAAGCGACCUCGCGAGAGCAAGCGGACCUCAUAAAGUACGUCGUAGUCCGGAUUGGAGUCUGCAACUCGACUCCAUGAAGUCGGAAUCGCUAGUAAUCGUAGAUCAGAAUGCUACGGUGAAUACGUUCCCGGGCCUUGUACACACCGCCCGUCACACCAUGGGAGUGGGUUGCAAAAGAAGUAGGUAGCUUAACCUUCGGGAGGGCGCUUACCACUUUGUGAUUCAUGACUGGGGUGAAGUCGUAACAAGGUAACCGUAGGGGAACCUGCGGUUGGAUCACCUCCUUACCAAGAAG
rnacentral:rRNA from 1 species